CUGCGAAUAUUCACGCUGUCCUGAUUUUGUGAUAAUCAGGGUAGGCUAAAUGUUCACUAUAUUAGAAACCAUGCAUGUGUCCCCAGACCUAGUUUUUCUCCCUAGGGCUGGUUUUUAGAAUGCUGGUGAUAAAC
ensembl:snoRNA SNORA72 Small nucleolar RNA SNORA72